AGUGAACGCUGGCGGUAGGCCUAACACAUGCAAGUCGAACGGCAGCACAGUAAGAGCUUGCUCUUACGGGUGGCGAGUGGCGGACGGGUGAGGAAUACAUCGGAAUCUACUUUUUCGUGGGGGAUAACGUAGGGAAACUUACGCUAAUACCGCAUACGACCUACGGGUGAAAGCAGGGGAUCUUCGGACCUUGCGCGAUUGAAUGAGCCGAUGUCGGAUUAGCUAGUUGGCGGGGUAAAGGCCCACCAAGGCGACGAUCCGUAGCUGGUCUGAGAGGAUGGUCAGCCACACUGGAACUGAGACACGGUCCAAAAUCCUACGGGAGGCAGCAGUGGGGAAUAUUGGACAAUGGGCGGAAGCCUGAUCCAGCCAUACCGCGUGGGUGAAGAAGGCCUUCGGGUUGUAAAGCCCUUUUGUUGGGAAAGAAAAGCAGCAGGUUAAUACCCCGCUGUUCUGACGGUACCCAAAGAAUAAGCACCGGCUAACUUCGUG
rnacentral:rRNA from 1 species